UUGGAGGGCAAGUCUGGUGCCAGCAGCCGCGGUAAUUCCAGCUCCAAUAGCGUAUAUUAAAGUUGUUGCAGUUAAAAAGCUCGUAGUUGAAUUUCGGGAUUAGUACGUCGGUCGUGCCUUAGGUACGUACUGGUGUUACUGGUUCCUACCUUCUGACGAACCAUCAUGUCAUUAAUUUGGUGUGGUGGGGAAUCAGGACUGUUACUUUGGAAAAAUUAGAGUGUUUAAAGCAGGCUCGCGCUUGAAUACAUUAGCAUGGAAUAAUGAAAUAGGACGUUGAUCCUAUUUUGUUGGUUUCUAGGAUUGACGUAAUGAUUAAUAGGGAUAGUUGGGGGCAUUAGUAUUCAAUUGUCAGAGGUGAAAUUCUUGGAUUUAUUGAAGACUAACUACUGCGAAAGCAUUUGCCAAGGAUGUUUUCAUUAAUCAAGAACGAAAGUUAGGGGAUCGAAGACGAUCAGAUACCGUCGUAGUCUUAACCAUAAACUAUGCCGACUAGGGAUCGGAUGAUGUUAUUUUUAAUGACUCAUUCGGCACCUUACGGGAAAC
rnacentral:rRNA from 1 species